CCAACAGGGAUUGCCUCAGUAACGGCGAGUGAAGCGGCAACAGCUCAAAUUUGAAAUCUGGUCCUUUCAGGGCCCGAGUUGUAAUUUGUAGAGGAUGUUUCGGGUGCGGCGCCGGUCUAAGUCCUUUGGAACCGGGCGUCAUAGAGGGUGAGAACCCCGUCUGUGACCGGCGACCAACCCCAUGUGUAACUCCUUCGACGAGUCGAGUUGUUUGGGAAUGCAGCUCAAAAUGGGUGGUAAAUUUCAUCUAAAGCUAAAUACCGGCCAGAGACCGAUAGCGCACAAGUAGAGUGAUCGAAAGAUGAAAAGCACUUUGGAAAGAGAGUCAAAAAGUACGUGAAAUUGUUGAAAGGGAAGCGCUGGCAACCAGACCUGCCUGCCGGCGAUCAACCUCCGUUCUCGGGGGUGCACUCGCCGGCGAUCAGGCCAGCAUCGGUUCGGGCGGCCGGAUAAAGGCCCCGGGAAUGUAGCUCCCCCCGGGGAGUCUUAUAGCCCGGGGUGCAAUGCGGCCAGCGCCGGACCGAGGACCGCGCUUCGGCAAGGAUGCUGGCGUAAUGGUUGUCAGCGACCCGUCUUGAAACACGGACCAAG
rnacentral:rRNA from 1 species